GACGAACGCUGGCGGCGUGCUUAACACAUGCAAGUCGAACGGAAAGGCCUGCUUUCCCUUGUGGAUUGCGGGUACUCGCGUGGCGAACGGGUGAGUAACACGUGAGUGAUCUGCCCCCAACUUGGGUAUAAGCCUGGGAAACUGGGUCUAAUUCCCGAUAGGACUGCAGGGUGGUGCCUGUGGUGGAACACGAUUUUCUAGUGGUUGGGGAUGAGCUCGCGGCCUAUCAGCUUGUUGGUGGGGUAAUGGCCUACCAAGGCGGCGCCGGGUAGCCGGCCUGGGAGGGUGGACCGGCAAAUUGGGAACGGGCUACGGUCCAGACGGCGACGGGAGGCAGGAGUGGUGAAUAUUGCACGAAGGGCGGAAGCCGGAUGCAGCGACGCCGGGUGAGGGACGACGGCCUUCGGGUUGUAAACUCCUUGCGACCGCGAGGAAGCCACCUGGUUGGAAGGGUGGUGACGGUAGUGGUAGAAGAAGCACCGGCUAACUACGU
rnacentral:rRNA from 1 species